rnacentral:rRNA from 1 species
GACGAACGCUGGCGGCGUGCCUAAUACAUGCAAGUCGACCUUACUGGCGAACGGGUGCUUAAAACGUGGGUAACCUGCCCAUCAGAAGGGGAUAACACUUGGAUACAGGUGCUAAUACCGUCUACUGAUGGAUGUACCCGCUGUGCAUUAGCUAGUUGGUGAGGUAACGGCUCACCAAGGCCACGAUGCAUAGCCGACCUGAGAGGGGGAGCGGCCACAUUGGGACUGAGACACGGCCCAAACGCCUACGGGAGGCAGCAGUAGGGAAUAUUCGGCAAUGGGAGAAAGUCUGACCGAGCAACGCCGCGUGAGUGAAGAAGGUUUUCGGAUCGUAAAACUCUGUUGUUAGAGAAGCGGUAUCUAACCAGAAAGCCACGGCUAACUACGUGCCAGCAGCCGCGGUAAUUC